GACGAACGCUGGCGGCGUGCUUAACACAUGCAAGUCGAACGGAAAGGCCCUGCUUUUGUGGGGUGCUCGAGUGGCGAACGGGUGAGUAACACGUGAGUAACCUGCCCUUGACUUUGGGAUAACUUCAGGAAACUGGGGCUAAUACCGGAUAGGAGCUCCUGCUGCAUGGUGGGGGUUGGAAAGUUUCGGCGGUUGGGGAUGGACUCGCGGCUUAUCAGCUUGUUGGUGGGGUAGUGGCUUACCAAGGCUUUGACGGGUAGCCGGCCUGAGAGGGUGACCGGCCAAAUGGGGAAGGGAAUACGGCACAGACUGCGACGGGAGGCAGCAGUGGGGAAGAGGGCAAAAUGGGCGGAAGCCUGAUGCAGGAACGCGGCGGGGGGGAUGACGGCGUGAGGGGUGUAAACAGAGUUGGCCGGUGAAGAAGCGUGAGUGACGGGAAGGGGUAAAGAGGCACCGGCUAACCACGGG
rnacentral:rRNA from 1 species